ACCUUCAGCCGUAUUGCACUGACUGUACCCAAUUUCAUCUGGGCUUGAAAGCUAAGUAGUUCUGGACCUUGCAAGUACUUGCAUGGGGGACCACCUGGGACUCCUAGCUGCUGCUGGUU
rnacentral:rRNA from 1 species